GUUUAUGUGUUUGCUAAGUUACCAUUACUAUAAGACAUAACAACAUAAAAUACACAUUCAGAAAAUAUUUUAACACAUAAACAGUUUUAAAUGAGGUCUCAAGACUUGCUUCAUAAUAGGCUUAUUUUUAACACAAUUAUAUGCUCAGCUUCAUUUUUCUAAUUGCCAAAGUGGGAGUAAAAAUUGUACUUAUUUCAUAAGGUUUUUGUGAGUAUUAAGUGUGCAUGACUCAGAAUGGUGGCACAUAGUAAGUACACAAUAUGUAAAUAUUAGCAUCAUUCAUAUCUUUGAAAAUGUUGCAAUCUGACUAGAAAAAAAGAAAUAAAAAGUAAAGAUAAACAGUAAAUAUUGUAGAUUUAAUUAUCCAUAUGAACUUUUUGCAGAAUUAAUGGACAAGCAACAUGGUUUUGAUAUAGAUGUUUCAUUCAUUCAUUCAUUCAAUAAAUUCAUUCAACAUUUAUUGAGCAGCUACUAUGUGCUGAGCAUUGUUCUAGGUGCUAGAGUUCCAGCAAGAGAUAAAAUGGAAACAUUUUCACUUCCACAGAGCUAAUAUUUCAGUGCUGGAACACAGACAAUAACCUAGUAAAAACUGAAUAAACAGUAUUACCAGACAGUAUGAUAAGUGCAAAGAAGGCAAAGUAGGAUAAGGGAAUAAUUGAGAGAGUUGUAAGAUAGCCAGAUUUAGUAAAGAAAAAAAUUCAAGAUGUAAAGUUAGAUUUGAUUUUCCAAUAAAUAACAUUUUUUAGCAUAAGUAUGGCCCAAAUAUUGCAUGGGACAAAGUAUACUAAAAAUCCAUAAUUGUUUAUAUAAAAUUCAAAUAUAUCUGGAGAGCCCAUAUUUUAUCUGGCAACCCUACAUGGGGUGAAGAGCUGAAGAUGAGAUAUUUUAACACAGAUCUGCCUUUUAACCUGUUUUUAGUGGUCGGAGUUGGGGGAGUGCACAUCAGCUCUCAUAAUUUCCUCUUGCUUGCAUCUAAGGAAAUUCAUGCUGUGCCAUAGUCACACAAAUCCAGUCCUAUUUGUCAUUGGGCCAUUGGGUCUAUUCCAGGUGUCAGUGUAUGAGGACCGUCUGUGCCUUCUCUGACAUUUAGUACUGAGAGGUUAUGGGGUUCAAAACUCACUGAAAUUACAUACUGAGUUGAUUGAAGGAAGAUGACCAGAGUCCAGGACUCAAUCCCAGGCUGACAUUAUAUACAUUUUGUUACAAGGCAGUUUAAUUCUUGAGCCAGAGAAACACCUGACUUAAAUAUACCAAAGAUAAUACUUUUAAAAGUCUAUUGUGAUUUAAAAAAGCCUAUUAUGAUCAACAAUGACUUCAAUAUAAGCUACUUCCAUACAAAUGAUGUUACCUGGAAAAUUAAAAAAAAUCAUAGAAAUCUUUGCACUGAACAUUUAAAAAGCAUUUAAUGGAUUUUUCCUUCAGUAGCAUGGUGUACUUUUCAGUAUAAGCAGAUAUGAUUCCUGCAUUUAUUGCUUGACAAUACACAAAUUUCCUUUACACUUCAGCUAUGAUAUUAGAAAAGAAUGAAGAAGAAGAAGAAAAAUCCCAGAAGCCUGAAAUCUAUGUUUCUGAGAGGUGAGAAACAGCAAACUGAGGAGGCUGGCAGUCAGGAGAGCCGGGAUCAAAUUGGCAACUAUGGGAGUUUGAGUCUGUAUUUUUGUUUUCUUUUCCUUUUCUUGUAUUUCCAAGAGAAGCACUACAAAAAGAAUGUCUUUGGCUUGAGGAAAUCCAGGCUGUUUUGCCUGGCUGGACCUUUUCUAGGAUAUAGGAAGUGGGAGAGGGAAAGAAGAUAGAUUAGGGAGAGCAGGAAGGAAAAAGAGAAGAGGAGGAAAAGAAAGAAGGCAUGAAUGGAGAGAACUGAAAAUAGUGGAAGAAGGAAGAAAGAAAGCCUUAUUCUCAAGACUCCGCCAGAUGCAGGACACUAUGUGAGAUGAUACGCCAUGGAGAUCUUGGGCAAGAAGCUGAGUGGAUGACCCCACCAUCACUUAGUGGAGGAGCUCUCUCUUCUUUGAAGACAGAUCCUUUUAACUGUGCUUUGAUACUCGACCCUCCACCAUGGUCACUACAACCUACAAAUUGGCUUCCUCUGCUGAUCUGAUAUUAAAGUGCUGGCUUUAAUAAGUUUCCACUUCAGUCUAAAAUAGAUAAUGUAAGAAACCAGAAAGCAGAGGCUGCCAAAGCUCACUGUUUCCUGAAACCAGAUUGCUAUUUUACUUCUUCCAUUGUGAGAAAACACAGGCCUGCAGAACCUGCCCCACCUCUUCCUCAGAGUCAAUUGCACCGUCUGUGAUCCAGUCACUUCACUGAGGAAGUGCUCUAUGUUGAGGGCUAUCAUCCAAUUUCACUUCUUACUUUAUUGUUUGCUUUUUUGUUUAAAUUUCAUUGCUUUCACAUCUGGCUGGUGCAGCUUUUAUGUGGUAUUAAAAGUAUGUGUCCAAAUAUGUGUCCCAGAUGAACAUCCUGUUUGCCUUUUGAUUUAAAUUUCUGUUUAGUAAACCUUUGUGGUUUGGAUACAGUGAGGAGUAUUUUCGGCAGAACUCCCUACCCACUUCCUCAAAAAUAAUGACUCCCCUGUCCAUUCCUCCCUUCCUUACGUCCUCUGCUAAAUUAAUACUGUCUAUCAGAUGCAUUCUUAGUGAUAUUCAAGAAUAUUACCUCCUCUCAUGGUGAUAAAAAUCUAUAUCUAAAACAUUACCGUUUCAGAAGCUCUUUCCACAAAAAGGCUAUUUUACAUGCUCUGUCAUUAGCAGCAAAUUGAAAAUGUACCCAUCAGGC
rnacentral:lncRNA from 10 species